ensembl:misc_RNA Metazoa_SRP Metazoan signal recognition particle RNA
GCCAGGUGUGGUGGCUCACGCCUGUAAUCCCAGCACUGGGAGGCUGAGGCAGGUGGAUCACCUGAGGUCAGGAGUUCGAGACCAUCCUGGCCAACAUGGUGAAACCCCGUCUCUA